GUUUGGGUUCUUGGAGAACUGGGCUGACUUUUCUGUUGGCUACCGGGUCUAGAAGCAAGGAUGGACUACACCUUAAUAGGGAGGGAGAAGCUUUGCUGGGGGA